UCACGAGUCCAGAAUGUAUGUUUGGCAGUACCUUCAAGAAAGCAACGUUUCUCUUGAUGCACCUGCUCUGAUAAUUUGCUCAUCUGACUACACAGAUGCGCCUGCAACUGACAGGAGGGUCCAGUUAUGCUGGAUUAAAGAUUCCUAUGUAGUAGAGAGCCUGGAACCUUCCCAGAGUUUCUCCCACUUUCAGAAGUCACAAAUUCAGAUUGACAAGAGCAUUUCUAAAAACUAGAGUCUUGGAUUGUCUAGCUCCAGAUAAAUGAUGGUGGUGGUCAUUACUGUGAGACUUUGAAAGUCACAUCUCUUGCUCCAGAACACACUUCAUGAAAGGACACUGGACUAUUAUAUACGUGGGAUGUUCUGGGGAUUGAAAUGACGUGUUCUAACACACGGGAAGACAUCCGUGGUGAAGGAGCUCACAGGCUUCAAGAGGAAAUGGAGGAAUGAGGGCAGCUGCGGGACACGCUACCCAGACAGAAUUCCCCAGAACAGAAGCAUGCUUCAUCUGCACGGUGCCAAUACUCCAGCUCCUGGAGCGGACAAGACGUGAUGAGCUCUUACGGCAUGCCACGUAAUAAGAAUGAUUUCCACUCGCAAUGUGAUGGUAGCUUUCUACAAAUGUAAGUUAUUAUGUCUUCUUUGACUAUACAUGUAUUCAGCUGCACUUCGGGGACAACAAUGCUUCCCAAAAUAUCCCCUCAAGACAGAACUUCCUGCCACCGUAUUUCAUGGCUGAACAACCCAAGUGGGAGUUUCCUCUUGCUGUAUCUAUUCAAUUCUUACCCUUUCAUUUCUCCUCCUUUAAAACCCUCUUCCUUGUCCCAUGGCUUUCCUGAAACGGCUCUCUGGGGUCACUUGUGAACCUGCACUCCUCCUGGACUUCUUGAUCUCCGCCUGGCCUCCGAGGGUUCAGCUGCUUCUCUGUUCCCUCCUCGAUGGGAACCGCAUGAGCCUGAGCGACUUUCCUGCUGCCUCUCUUAUGGUAAAGCUGACAUUGCUGAACUUCCCGGAUCCUUGAAGCCGGGCUCUCUGCCUGUGCCCCAGGAGCGGCGGGCUCCUUCCGACAGCUCCACCGGUAGUUAACAGAGCUACCUGACUCCUUGCCCUCCCGGUCUCCCUCUGUCCACUCUUGGUUCCUCCUGAGGGCACUUCACUUGAAUACACCCCUUGCACGUGAACCUGGUUCUGGGAGAAGGUGACACGCCCUGUCUCCUUAUCCUUCAUCUCUGCCCCUCCUGUUGCAUCUUUGGGUCUGGUCCUCUCCUGGUGAGUGCAUCCCCCCCCAGUCCUUCAGAAAUCUCACCCCUCCCUCAGUUCUAUCCAUGGCAAC